CCCCGGUAAACGGCGGCCGUAACUAUAACGGUCCUAAGGUAGCGAAAUUCCUUGUCGGGUAAGUUCCGACCUGCACGAAUGGCGUAAUGAUGGCCAGGCUGUCUCCACCCGAGACUCAGUGAAAUUGAACUCGCUGUGAAGAUGCAGUGUACCCGCGGCAAGACGGAAAGACCCCGUGAACCUUUACUAUAGCUUGACACUGAACAUUGAGCCUUGAUGUGUAGGAUAGGUGGGAGGCUUUGAAGUGUGGACGCCAGUCUGCAUGGAGCCGACCUUGAAAUACCACCCUUUAAUGUUUGAUGUUCUAACGUGGACCCGUAAUCCGGGUUGCGGACAGUGUCUGGUGGGUAGUUUGACUGGGGCGGUCUCCUCCUAAAGAGUAACGGAGGAGCACGAAGGUUGGCUAAUCCUGGUCGGACAUCAGGAGGUUAGUGCAAUGGCAUAAGCCAGCUUGACUGCGAGCGUGACGGCGCGAGCAGGUGCGAAAGCAGGUCAUAGUGAUCCGGUGGUUCUGAAUGGAAGGGCCAUCGCUCAACGGAUAAAAGGUACUCCGGGGAUAACAGGCUGAUACCGCCCAAGAGUUCAUAUCGACGGCGGUGUUUGGCACCUCGAUGUCGGCUCAUCACAUCCUGGGGCUGAAGUAGGUCCCAAGGGUAUGGCUGUUCGCCAUUUAAAGUGGUACGCGAGCUGGGUUUAGAACGUCGUGAGACAGUUCGGUCCCUAUCUGCCGUGGGCGCUGGAGAACUGAGGGGGGCUGCUCCUAGUACGAGAGGACCGGAGUGGACGCAUCACUGGUGUUCGGGUUGUCAUGCCAAUGGCACUGCCCGGUAGCUAAAUGCGGAAGAGAUAAGUGCUGAAAGCAUCUAAGCACGAAACUUGCCCCGAGAUGAGUUCUCCCUGAGACUUAGAGUCUCCUGAAGGAACGUUGAAGACGACGACGUUGAUAGGCCGGGUGUGUAAGCGCAGCGAUGCGUUGAGCUAACCGGUACUAAUGAACCGUGAGGCUUAACCUU
rnacentral:rRNA from 8 species